rnacentral:SRP_RNA from 1 species
GCAUCGGCCCCGCGCAACUUAUUCCCGCCAACCCCGCCAGGUCCGGAAGGAAGCAACGGUAACGGGCUCUUAUGUGUGCAGCGGGUCACCGGUGUCCG